rnacentral:tRNA from 1 species
GACUCUGUGGCGCAAUGGAAGCGCGUCUGACUCCAGAUCAGAAGGUUGCAUGUUCGAAUCUCGUCAGGGUCA